AGACUACGGGGCGCCGCUGAGCCAAGUGGGUGACCCUGGUACGGCCACGCUCCCGGGUCACGUGACACGGAGGGGGCCGAAUUCUGCUGGAGGCAGCGCCAUAUCCUGGAGGUGGACAAGGCAAGCAUCCGGCAUGGCGGAGAGAACGUGGCCGCUGUGCUGAGGGCCCACGGCGUGCGGUUCAUCUUCACGCUGAUCGGUGGGCACAUUUCCCCGCUGCUGGUGGCCUGUGAGAAACUGGGCAUCCAUGUGGUGGACACACGCCAUGAGGUCACGGCCGUCUUUGCUGCUGAUGCUAUGGCCCGCCUGUCCGGAACGGUGGGCGUGGCGGCAGUGACAGCAGGCCCUGGCCUCACCAACACGGUGACUGCAGUGAAGAAUGCUCAGAUGGCUCAGUCCCCAGUUCUGCUUCUGGGUGGGGCCGCCAGCACUCUGCUGCAGAACCGAGGUGCGCUCCAGGCCAUUGAUCAGCUGUCCCUUUUCCGGCCACUCUGUAAGUUCUGUGCGUCCGUGCGGAGGGUGCGGGACAUCGUGCCCACCCUGAGGGCCGCGAUGGCUGCCGCCCAGUCGGGCACCCCAGGUCCGGUGUUUGUGGAGCUGCCCGUUGACGUGCUGUACCCCUGCUUCAUGGUCCAGAAGGAGAUGGUGCCAGCCAAAUCACCCAAGGGCCUCGUGGGCCGAGUGGUCUCCUGGUAUUUAGAGAAUUACCUGGCCAACCUCUUUGCAGGAGCCUGGGAGCCUCAGCCCGAGGGACCGCUGCCCCUGGACAUCCCCCAGGCUUCCCCACAGCAGGUUCAGCGCUGUGUGGAGAUCCUGAGCCGGGCCAAGAGGCCCCUGAUGGUGCUAGGGAGUCAGGCCCUGCUCACCCCGACGUCCGCCGACAAGCUUCGGGCUGCCGUGGAGACCUUGGGUGUUCCCUGCUUCCUCGGAGGGAUGGCACGGGGGCU
rnacentral:sRNA from 1 species